CCUCUGAAUCCUUAAGGACAAACACAAUAAUAGCAGUUAAGGGCACCAAGGGAGGGAGUGGGUCAGCCAUCUUCCCUCACCAUUCAUCUUAGUGAGCUGAAAGGUUCACAUCGGUACAAAUUCGAAGGCAGAUGACUGACAGCACUACUUCCACGUGGCAAAAAGUCUGCAAAUAAACUGUGGAGCAGGUGUUCAGUGGAAUUAAGUGAUUCACGGUAAUUUACAGCGGCAGAAGCAUCAAUUUGAGAAUUGCUAAAGUCUGCUGCUGAUCUUCCAGAAAGGCAACCAGUCUUCAAAUGGGGAAUUCACUAUUGAUCUUGAAGUGAACUAUAUACCUUAUUUUUGAACUGCAUUUAUCUUCUUCUACUUUCCAAAAGAUGGGGGAAAAUGACAGAAGAUAUUCUUGCACUCCAAAAAAAAAGUGCGCUGUCCUGAAGGAAAGAGAUGUUAUUUAAAGUCUUAAGGAUGUUUAAAUGUGAGGAUACUGGUCCUGGAAGAUCCUUUUCAACCUUUAGGAAGGAGCUGGAUUUUCAGGAAGAAGUCAAGCUCUUCAUACCAAUGAUAAAACUAGAAAAUGUUCCUUCCUGUUUCUCUCCCCUCCUCCCACUCCCUCAUUUAAUCAAUAGCUGGAAAUUUCUGGAGUUUUGCAAUGGAAGAUCAAAUAUUUCUGCAAGAAUUGGCAAAGCUGCUAAGGGCACGAUAAUUACAGUGAGCAACACUCAUGGAAUCAGGCUCUGCAUUGACUCACGUUAUUUCAUUCAAGUGAGGAAUUAAAUUUAUACAAUGGAUUUGUUGAUGACUGAUUUGGUUGUCUAUGUAUUACAAAUGAGAAAGUUACAAAAAUAUCAACAUGCAAACAAUGUAAUCAUGUAUUACAAUUGAUUUUCACUGCAGUGUAUAGGAUUUCAGUUGUUAUUUUCAAUUGCAGGCAAUUUAAACUUAAAUGUUAAGGAAAAUGGGAAAUUCUGACUUUGUGAAGGGAAAGAAGGGACUUCUCAUGCAGAAAAAGCAUCUAAUUGAGAUCUUGGCCAAGACUGGUAAAUAUGUGAUCACAGCAUAGAAAUAGAUUUAUUUACAUAGCACUCUAUCUGAGGGUUCAUAUGGUCCUAAUAUACAUACACAUCAUUUGUAUCUGAAGUAAUUCAAUAAACACUGACCCACCCACAGCUACUUUUAUAAUUUUUGGAAAUAUGAUUGUGCAUUUGCAUACAGCACACAUGCACCUAGAUCCACCUCUCCACAGAUGCAAGUAGACAUGUUUUGGCAAAUGAAUUGUUCAGGUGAAUGUUGCUGGGCCAGUGUCCUGCCCAAAGGCAAUGAGAAGCAGUAAAAUGUCCAGGCUGUUCAGUUCUCAGAAUAUGAAUAAAUCCUUCUCACAUUGUUGAAAAGUCGCUUGGCCAAAUGAUGAGAGGCUAUCACCCUUAACCCUCUUACUGAAUUUGACUAGAUCUGACUACAGCUACAUCCUAACCAAAAAUAGAUUGCCUUCAAUUGCAAUUAAAAGGAUUAUAAUGACUUUCUUUUGAAGAAAAAAAUAACUUCAUGUUGAGAUGUGGUGAUUUAAUAUCCGUGUGCCUUUCCAGUCAAACGUUGCCCACUGGAUUUUCCAGCAUACUGGGAGCAAGGUUGCUCAGAGAUUUCUCUGGAGAGUUUUAAACUCACAUGAGCAAGUAAUUGUUGUGAAGUGUGGGUUGAUGUGUUGGUAGUCCCCAGAAAGCCUCUGUUCUGUCCCCUCAGGCUGAGUAUGGCACAGAGAAGAUAAGAUGUUUAAUGGUGUGGUUUCUGGGCAGCUCUUAUGAUGCACUGAACACUUUUCUUGGAAUAUCAUGAAAAAGACCCUCUUAGCCUGCUCAGCAAUAACUUUAUUGUUCAGUUUUUGCUGAAGGAACUUCAAUUGCUUGCUCAGUAUGAAAGAGAAAGCAAGACUUUCACUGAAUUCACGCCUGUAGGGUGAGAAUUAGAAGUGUGACCACUUAAAAAUUACCCUGAAAAAGAUUUCUUUGAUGAAUAUGACUUUUCUCUGUGCCUUGCUAACAGUGUCAUGUCUGCAUGCUUCGAGCUAUUUAUAAAUGGCAGUGAGCUGUUUCCUUUGACAACCUUGUAAUAAUGUUUGUAAGUUAUAAAAAAAAAAGAGAUUGUGAAAAAUAUAGAUAUUCAUAGA